UCUCCGUAGGUGAACCUGCGGAGGGAUCAUUACCGAGCGAGGGCUCCGGCCCGACCUCCAACCCACUGAAGUUACCAACCCUGUUGCCUCGGGGGUGACCCGGCCCCCGCGUCGGGGCCCCCGGUGGACCUAUCAACUCUGCAUCUUUGCGUCUGAGUAAAUAUUGAAUCAAUCAAAACUUUCAACUACGGAUCUCUUGGUUCUGGCAUCGAUGAAGAACGCAGC
rnacentral:misc_RNA from 1 species